UCUCCUCUUUUCUCUUAUUUCCUGCAUUUCAAUGUCAAUUUGGUUUUAAAAAAUAAGUAUUUACUUGGCUGAAACUAUUAAACAAUGUAAAUUAAGUGUUUUUCCAUCCCUGGUUUCCAACGGCGCACUGGCCUAUAAGGCUUGUUGUGUGAAAACUGGGCUUAAUGCCCAUGCAUUAGCAUCGUACAUUGGCUUAAGAAAUAAGAUCAAAUUAUGUUGUACAUUUUAUUACAUUGUAAUCUGUCAAAGAUUGGAGAAUGUUAGUGAAUCAUUAGUUCACUUCACAAGCAAACGUGUAUUUUAUUUCUCCAUUCAAAACAUGAAAAAUUAAGAAAAUUUAUUGAUUUCAUUUUAAUCUCGGCCACUGGUAAAAAUCUGUUUUAUAUGACCACUCAUGAAAUAAGAAUAUUAACUUACACUGAAAUUAACCAGUAUCCUCUAUAUUUUUGGGCCUCAUUCUAGAAAACCUGGGCAAUUGGUAAAGUGUUAAGUGUCGUCUCAAAUCUGCCUGUACAGUCAGCACAGGCAAAUCACUGAAAACAAUUUCUGCUUUUCUGGAUUAUUUGUAUGCCCCUGGAUCGAAAGAUCAGUGGUAUAUAUUGUUUUUGGCCUGUCUGUCAUUGUGUGUGUGUGUGUGUGUGUGUGUGUGUGUGUGUGUGUGUGUGUGUGUGUGUGUGUGUGUGUGUGUGUGUGUGUGUGUGUGUGUGUGUGUGUGUGUGUGUGUGUGUGUGUGUGUGUGAGUUUGUAAAACCUACCAACCGGGGAAAAUCGUAUGAAUACACACCAACAAACCGGGGAACACCUACCAACCGGGGAAUUCCCCGGUUGGUUUUAGGCGAAAAUCUCUAAUCUACGUGUAUGAAAUACCAAACUGUCAAUUUAAAUUAGAAAUCCAACGCCUUCCCCGAUUAGUGGGUUUGUGGCAUGCACAAACUAUACACAAAUCUUGACCAAAUUACAAUCGAGUGUGUAUCCAGGCUAAUAACAGUUCCCCGGUUGCGCUGUUUAAAAAUCAUACACUCGGUAUUUAUAUCAUUUAGUGAAAGUAUGUUGGAAAAAUGGAGUUUCGAGCGAACAAACGCAUUAAACUAAGUAGCCAAAAGGGGCCAAGUCCCCUUGAUCUCGCAAGAACGUACUGCCAGAAUUACGUUGAUCCACCAGGUUUUGAAGUAAAAACCGUAGAUGAUGUCAUAGGCGAAUGAGUAUUUGCCACUAAGCCUUUUUAAAAAGGAGACUUUCUUCUCGAAUACAAAGGAGAUAUGGUAACACGAGUAAAGCAUGCACGGCAAUUAGAAAAGGAGUAUGAAAAAAAGGGUCAAGGCAGCUUCAUGUACUUUUUAAAUACAGAGACAAAUCUUGCUGCAUUGACGCUACCAACGAUAUAUUUCAUGAGGGUCGAAUGAUAAAUGAUGCCGAAAAUGGAGACGCAAAACAAAAUUGUGUAAUGAAAAUAGUUGAAGUCAACCAAACUCCCCAUCUAUGCACUAUCGCCGACAGAGACAUUGCAAUUGGCGAGGAACUCCGAUAUGAUUAUGGAGUACCAACACUUCCAUGGAGAAAGAAAUGCACGGAGCAAACAAUGGGCAACACAAUGACUACUAGAUCUACGGACAGCCAGGAACCAGGACAAACAACAUCCAUACACACGGAAGAAGUCAAUGAGACGAAAUGCACGGAACAAAAAAGGGCAACACAAUGACUACUAGAUCUACGGACAGCCAGGAACCAGGAAAAACAACAUCCGUACACACGGAAGAAGUCGAUGAGACGUAUAAGACUUAUACGCUGCCACAAAUUGACAAAUGACGAUGGAGAAUAAGAUGGAUGUUUAACAAAACUCGAAAAAGACCUGUGCCGUUAUUUUUACCGUACAGAGAUUAUUGCAAAACGAGGUCGAAUAUCUGCAGUACUGUUUCCAAGGCAGGUGAAAGAAAAUAUCGACCUCCUGAUACGCAGCAGAAAUUCUCUAACAAACUGUUUCAAAAGUUAAUAUCUUUUCGCAACAAAAUCUGCAUCAUCGCAUAUUCGUGGGACAGAUGUAUUACGUUCGAUUGCAAUUGACUGUGGAGCUGAACAUCCGGAAAGGCUUCGUUCUACAAAGUUAAGGAAACAUAUUGCCACAAUGACUCAGCUUUUUAACUUGUCUGAAAAUGAAUUAGACAUUCUAGCUAAAUUUCUUGGUCACGACAUUCGGGUACAUAGAGAAUUCUACAGAUUACCAGAUGGAACUUUGCAGGUUGCCAAAGUCAGCAAGCUGCUUAUGAUGAUGGAAAGUGGACAAAUUACCAUAAAUUCUGUCGAUUCGCUAGAAGAUAUUGAUGUUGACGACGAAUGUAUUGAAGAUGAACAAUAUUCUUCUGAAUCAUCAGAAAAUGAAAAUACUGAAGACCUUGAAACUCUUCUUCCCAGCACCAGUCAACCAGAAAUAACAGACAAAGAAAAGGGUACUUCAAAUACCAGGAGAACAAAACAAGCAGCCAAAAAGCAAUGGAGUGAAAACGAAAAAGGAGCUGUUCACAGACACUUUGAUCGUUUUUUUGAUAAUGGGUAAAUUACCAGGGAAAAAAGAAAUACUUGCGUGUAUUGAAAGUGAGAAUGACCUUCACAACAGAAGUUGGAAAAAUGUCAAAGACGUUUGCAGAAAUUUAAUUGAAACAAAAAAGCGACGGGGACUUUUAACUCAAAAAAAUAUUACACAUAUAAUGCACGUUUAGGAGAAUACGUUAAAGGAUGAAGUUGCUACAUGUGUUUUGUGUGUUUUCUUGUUCUAUAUACUCUUUUCGAAAACGAUAUAUGUGUGCUUAUUGUUUUUGAAUGUUUUAUUAAUACGGUUCAGUCAAAAACGAUAUUUGUUCAUAAUCAUAUCGCCGAACAAAUUAGGAUUGGUAUAUAGUUCGGCCAAAGAGUGUUUCUUUGUACUUUCUAUUACGAGUUUCUACGAGUUACUCACUAUACAAGUUAUUUUUUACCCUAAACUUGGUGAAUAUGAAUGAAUAUAGCAAACAUGAUAACAAAUCAAUCUAGAAGGCUAAACGUUCAGAGAAGGCACAAAAAAAUUCAGUCGGAUAAAUGGAAACAAACAUUUUGUUCAAGCAUAACAAACAAAAACUUUAAGAUUUAAUAAGAUAAAUGUAAAUAACAUAAAAAACUACUGCUAAACUACUGCUACAAUGUGAUAAAUACAAAUGAAUAUUUUGUCAAUUUUACAAAAUUUGUUUUGAAUGACAGGUGUCUGACUUGCAGUUGAGUACUUAAUAGUUAUUUUAAAGUAAAAAUUUACCAAAAUGUAAAUUAUUGCGUAAGUAUUGCACUAGAAUUGAUUAAAUGGUUGUUAAAUAUUACAAUAAUUUCCUACACAGAUUUUUGUGCAUUUGUUUUGCGUGUAGAUAUUCACAUUAACUAUCAAUUCACAUAUUUGCUUUGUGUAUAUAAUGGUAUGUUUAUAUGUUUUUCAUAUCAAAAUUGCUUGAUCUACAAAAAUUCGCGAGGAGUUAUGCAUUUUUUCCCAUGUUUUUAAUUGAAGUUUAUAAUUCAACGGCGAUGAAAAUUACUAAGAUGCCAGAUUUAGUUAUGUUUUGUCUCAUUUAUGGUUAAAGAUCAAUUAACAUACCCAUUUCCCAGACUAAGAUAUUGUUAAAACAAUGUAUCGCGUUUGCGACUGACCUCUUUUAUGCAUUCUAACACAAGCUAUUUACUUGUUUUUUCGAAUACUCUUCAUAUACACACACUUGAACAAGCUGUAGAUUACCAAGAACAAAACAUAUUUGAAACAUAUAUUUAUAUGUGAUAUGUAAAUAUAUGCACAAUGGUAAUAAUUCAUCAUGUUUAUACACUUUGCGAUAUGAUGCUAUAAUUUCGGUUGUUUUAGUGAUUAAUCAUUAUGUUAACCAUGUUAUCCGCCAUCUGGAAUGUAAUUGUUUUGACAUGUAUGCGAAUUUGAUCUUGUUCGAUUUGGUUCUGUAUAUUCAGAAUUGAGUCACACUGUUAUAAUUUUCCUGUUGGUACAUAUUAUUUUUAAGUUGGCACCAACAAGGGUCUAACAAUUGAUCCACAUGUGCACUCCCAAUAAGUAUAUAUACUAUAAUGUAAGUGAUUUAAAAUAAUAUUAAACUACGUGUUUGAUAAGUGUUUGCUUUGGUUCAUAUUUAAUUAUUAGUGUUUUUAUAUAAUGAUAAUGCUGUCAAAGUCAGCGGUGAUUAUACGUGUAUAACAACAUUAAUUAUAACUUUUAUAUUGUUUUCAACAAAUAAUAUAUGGAUGACACAUCGGCAUAACUUUUCAGUGCUUAAAAUACACUCUUUCUAUUAUAUUUUAUGCAAAAAUUAGGUACAUACGUUGGUUAACAUAAAGGUAGUUUGAACAAAAUACGUUAAUCCAACUCUUGAAAAAAAGGUGUUUGGUUUGCAAGGGAAAACAAAGCGAUUGCCAGUGACUAUUUUCCUAAAAAUAUAAUCUGUUAUUUCGACAGGUAGAAUUAUAUGUAAGUUCAUUAUUAACGUUAACCCGUUUUUGGCAUUCUCUACUCAAACAAGUGCAUACAUACUGUAUUUUUUUAAUAUAGCACAUGUGUAAUGGUAUCACAGAUGUAGAAUUGGAAUACAUAUAUUAUAACGAUAAAUACUGAUCAUCAUUCAGAUUGACCUACUGCCGUAGACUAAGUCACUGGCGCAUCAAAAUGCAUUGUUAUCAAGUCGUUUUGCUCGUUUACUAAACUAUUUAGUUUCUCAGGCCUCGCCACAUUCGUUGUGAAACGUUCAUGAUUGUUUAAAGUUACAUAUUUUAUUAUUUUUGAAAAUGCAAUAAAUGUAUUUAAGACAAUUUAAGUGAAGUGGAAGUUGCCAUGCGUGUGAAUGAAUUUUCUGAUGUUUACCUGUUUCAGGGGAUUAAAUGCAUUAGUUAUUUUAUAUUGUCAGAGUAAGGACAAAGUAAAUUUACACUACUCAAUCUACAUGCAUAUGGGCAGUUCUACUUUUAGGAUAAAAACUUCAUAGUACGUGGAAAUCGUGAAUGUUUUUUUCUGAUGGAAAAAAGGAAUUAAACAAAUAAGCCGCCUCCCCCUCUCCUUCAUUCUGUUUGACAAAUAGCGUGGCCGGAAAAAAAUAACAUUAUUUUUUAGUUUUAAGAACGAAUUGUAUUCAUUUGUUGAUUAAUUGCACCAUGUUUGUUAUGGUAUAAUGCAGCACUUGCAUGCUUGUAGUCGGCUUAUAGCUAAUGAAGUCAUAAAUGUAUUGUUUGAUUUGCGUUAUGUCUCUUAUGCUUAUUUUGAUGUGAAUAAUAUUUGAGUCAAUCAAAUAAGGCAUUUUUGUAUAACUUAUAU